CGCGUAGGCGGGGAGGUAAGUCGGGUGUGAAAUCCCUCGGCCCAACCGAGGAACUGCGCCCGAGACUGCUUCUCUUGAGUCCCGGAGAGGAAGGUGGAAUUCCCGGUGUAGCGGUGAAAUGUGUAGAGAUCGGGAGGAACACCGGUGGCGAAGGCGGCCUUCUGGACGGUGACUGACGCUGAGGCGCGAAAGCGUGGAGAGCAAACG
rnacentral:rRNA from 1 species